rnacentral:rRNA from 1 species
UACGUAGGGUGCGAGCGUUGUCCGGAAUUAUUGGGCGUAAAGAGCUCGUAGGCGGCUUGUCGCGUCGGAUGUGAAAGCCCGGGGCUUAACUCCGGGUCUGCAUUCGAUACGGGCAGGCUAGAGUUCGGUAGGGGAGAUCGGAAUUCCUGGUGUAGCGGUGAAAUGCGCAGAUAUCAGGAGGAACACCCGUGGCGAAGGCGGUUCUCUGGGACGGUACUGACGCUGAGACGCGAAAGCGUGGGGAGCGAACAGG